CCUACGGGAGGCAGCAGUGGGGAAUAUUGCGCAAUGGGGGAAACCCUGACGCAGCAACGCCGCGUGAAGGAUGAAGGCCUUCGGGUUGUAAACUUCUUUGAUUGGGGAAGAAGAAAGUGACUGUACCCAAAAAACAAGCCACGGCUAACUACGUGCCAGCAGCCGCGGUAAUACGUAGGUGGCAAGCGUUGUCCGGAAUUACUGGGUGUAAAGGGCGUGUAGGCGGGGAAGCAAGUCAGAUGUGAAAUCCCGGGGCUCAACUCCGGAGUUGCAUCUGAAACUGUUUUUCUUGAGUGCUGGAGAGGAAAGCGGAAUUCCUAGUGUAGCGGUGAAAUGCGUAGAUAUUAGGAGGAACACCAGUGGCGAAGGCGGCUUUCUGGACAGUAACUGACGCUGAGGCGCGAAAGCGUGGGGAGCAAACAGGAUUAGAUACCCUGGUAGUCCACGCCGUAAACGAUGGAUACUAGGUGUAGGAGGUAUCGACCCCUUCUGUGCCGGAGUUAACACAAUAAGUAUCCCACCUGGGGAGUACGGCCGCAAGGUUGAAACUCAAAUGAAUUGACGG
rnacentral:rRNA from 1 species